UUUACAUUAAAAUUUCUAUUCACCUGUUUCGGCAAGCUUUGAUCUAAGCGAUAUUAUUUCUGGUUUUAUGACGAGCUCAUAAACAAUUCAUCACGCGCAGAAGAACAUAAGUUAUCGUUAAUUUCGACAUCAGAAUUGAAGAUCUACAAAAAAUACAUUAAGGAAGAUGUCGGAAGAUGUUUGAAUAAAGAAUAAAUAAAAAAAUCGCGACUUUACUGGGACGUCACGGCAUAGAAUGGUAAUGAAUCGUGAUAAAUAAUAUCAUCAUUAAUUGUCGUGACAGAUUUCGUGAUCUAUUUAUAGAUCUUACGAUAAGUGACUUCGCGUAUGUUGGAACAGCUAUGAAAAAUGAGAACUAACGAAUUAACGACAGACGCUAUAUAGAUCGAUAUUGUUUGACAGAUAUAAAGACGUGCUAUUUCAACUGUGGAGAGGACAAUAACAUUAAGCAUCCCAGUAUACGUGCAUUCCUCCUGAAGAUUGCUGGACUUGUACGAAGCCAACUUUAAUCGCAUCAGAUCAGAUGGAUAAACUGCAAGAUAUUCAGUUCACCGAUUGUUCUGAGAUUUGGAGACUAGCAGUUACUUCAUGGUUGAGGAUUAUCCGAUGAUCACGGAUGAAAAACACUCACGGCGCGGAGUCAUUCAACAAUUUAAUCGACAGCUCUAAUCUGCUGCGGCUAUGAAGUUUACUUAUUGUUAGAUUGCAGCGACUUCGGAAGUAAAGCUGAACGAAUUCUAUACAAAUCUAUGAAACGAUUGUGUUUCCAUAAAUGACGAUGAGAUUACAUUUAUAU